GUACUUUGGCAGUACAUAUACUAAAAUUGGAACGAUACAGAGAAGAUUAGCAUGG
rnacentral:snRNA from 1 species